rnacentral:rRNA from 1 species
GUAACAUUGGUGCUUGCACCAGAUGACGAGUGGCGCACGGGUGCGUAACGCGUAUGCAACCUACCUUUUACUAGAGUAUAGCCCAGAGAAAUUUGGAUUAAUCCUCUAUAAUAUCUUUUAAUUUCAUGAUUAAUUGAUUAAAGUUUUAACGGUAAAAGAUGGGCAUGCGUCCUAUUAGUUUGUAGGUGAGGUAACGGCUCACCUAGACUACGAUAGGUAGGGGCCCUGAGAGGGGGAUCCCCCACACUGGUACUGAGACACGGACCAGACUCCUACGGGAGGCAGCAGUAAGGAAUAUUGGACAAUGGACGAAAGUCUGAUCCAGCCAUGCCGCGUGCAGGAUGAAAGCCCUAUGGGUUGUAAACUGCUUUUAUACAGGAAGAAACACUCCGACUUGUCGGAGCUUGACGGUACUGUAAGAAUAAGGAUCGGCUAACUCCGUGCCAGCAGCCGCGGUAAUACGGAGGAUCCAAGCGUUAUCCGGAAUCAUUGGGUUUAAAGGGUCCGCAGGCGGUCUUUUAAGUCAGAGGUGAAAGCCUACAGCUCAACAGUAGAACGGCCUUUGAUACUGAAAGACUUGAGUUAUUGUGAAGUGGUUAGAAUGUGUGGUGUAGCGGUGAAAUGCAUAGAUAUCACACAGAAUACCGAUUGCGAAGGCAGAUCACUAACAAUAUACUGACGCUCAUGGACGAAAGCGUGGGGAGCGAACAGGAUUAGAUACCCUGGUAGUCCACGCCGUAAACGAUGGAUACUAGCUGUUCGUCUAACAUUGGUUAGAUGAGUGGCUAAGCGAAAGUGAUAAGUAUCCCACCUGGGG